rnacentral:piRNA from 1 species
UAGACAUCCUUCGCCGGAAUGUGCAGCGC